UAGCACGACAGGCUGUGUUUCACGGACAGACCUUCUUUUGUUUUAUGGACGACCAUUUUAAGAAGCAAAUUUUUCGCGAACGGACGGACAGAGAGUUACAUUAGAGACAGACAAGGUUACAGAAUAGUUAUUUAAAACUUUAAAGACUGAAGAAGAAAGAUCGCUAGCUCAGGACGUUGAAAAGCGAUUCUCGAUUUUCAGACUACAGAAUAGAUCCCUGAAUUAUCCCCGGAUUGCGAUCUUACAUAUAUGUACAUAUUUGUAUAUUUAUAUAUAUAUAUAUAUAUAGAGAGAGAGAGAGAGAAUGUUACAAGGAAGUAAUCUAAAACUUCGUAAAUUUGUAGUACAUGUUUAAUGAGAGAAGUAUAAAAUAUCUGAUAAGCGUAGAUCCAAAAAUUAAUCCUAUUUAUUUGAUAUACCGU
rnacentral:misc_RNA from 1 species